AUUGCCCUACUCGGAUUGUAUACAUUUCACAUCACAUACUCGUAGGUAGAAUUCUUCUCUUUUGGAAACCGCUUGUUAUCGUUAUCUGGACUUCUUAUCGCAAGUGUAGACGUUUGCCGGUCUGAAUCCCCUUCGGCUUUAUUCGUUCGGUUGGUAAAUUGGAGUAGAUUGGUUGGUAUUCUUGACGUUUCACCAUGAGGACUUUUCUGAUCGUUUUCGCCAUCGGCUUGGCCGUCACGGCCGCAGAUGAUGUAAAAGAUCCGGUCCUGAAUGUUGUGGAAGUGGCCCUUCGCAUGGGACAGUACAGUUAUCUCAUGGCUUUGGAGGAGACUAAUAGCCUAGAUUUGCUGUUGAACACGAAGGAUAUCACGGUUUUCAUGCCCACUAACGACGCAUUCCGCAACGUAAGCGAAGAUACCAGGAAUUUCUGGCGUGCUCAUCCGAUUACUACAAACAGCUUAUGCGAUACCACAUUGUUGGCGAGCGAAGGGAUAAAAAAGACCUGAUUGACGAAGCUAACUACGAUACCUUGGCUGAUAAGAAGCGUGCUCGUUACAUCGAUUACAAUGGAUUCAGUAAAAAUAUUCAACUGUACAAUGAUGCGCAGAUCCAGUCCUUCAACUACGAGGCGUCAAACGGUGUCAUUCAUUUGCUGGAUAACGUGGUCGGACACAUCCAGAACGACAACAUGCUCAGCACGUUCAAGGGCGUCCGGAAUUAUCCAAAAUUCUCAAUGCAGUGAAAAUCACUAACUUGACAACCGUUUUGAAUGGCUCGGGCCCGUACACUUUUGCGGCUCCCACCGAUCAAGCAAUUGGGAAACUGCCAGCUGGAGCAUGGGACAAAUUAUUGAACGAUACAACCCAGCUGAAAGAAAUUCUGAACUUCCACAUUGCCAGUGCUGGAACAUGGAUGACUCGUGGUUUGACUGACAAAUUGAGCAUUGCUACUCUGAACAAGAAUGCCAAUUGGACAAUCAGCAUCAUGGACAACCAGCCGAUCACGAUAUGGAAUGAUAAGGCCACACCAACGAGCCGUGCUCAACUGGUUACCUCGGAUCUGUCAGCACUGAAUGGAGUUGUGCAUACGAUCGAUACCGUGCUUUUCCUCCCUGGCCAAGAAGAGUUGUAAAAAUGUGCUUUUCAGAAUUGAACUGAGUUUUAUUUAUUAUACGAUGUUUGUUGGUUUAUGAUUUUAUUUUGAUGUUUUAACGUUCUCGUGAUGCUACUUUGGCGGCUCCGGUAUGGUUUGCUAAAACGUUUCGUUCUUUGGUCGACUGCAUGAAGACACAAAUCAUCAGUGUUGGCCACGCGUUCUGCGGUGGUCACAAAAAAAUCUGACUGUGGCACUAGUAAGAAUUUAAUAAAUGGCAUUCUGACGA